GGUCGCGUAGCUCAGCCGGUUAGAGCACCGUACUAAUAAUGCGGGGGUCGUGAGUGUAAGUUAUCAUCUGAAUAUCCUUCCAUGUAUCAUUACUAAUUAUCUUGUGUAGUCAAGCCUCAUCGUGAUCA